rnacentral:misc_RNA from 1 species
AUGCGAUACGUAAUGUGAAUUGCAGAUUUCAGUGAAUCAUCGAAUCUUUGAACGCACAUUGCGCCCGCUAGUAUUCUGGCGGGCAUGCCUGUUCGAGCGUCAUUUCAACCAUCAAGCCCUCGGCUUGCGUUGGAGCCCUGCGGCUGCCGCAGGCUCCCAAAUCUAGUGGCGGGCUCGUCGUCGUACCGAGUGCAGUAAACAUCCUCGCUCAGGGAACGCGUCGGGUUCUUGCCGUGAAACCCCCCCCACAUCAAGGUUGACCUCGGAUCAGGUAGGAAUACCCGCUGAACUUAA